rnacentral:rRNA from 1 species
GAUGAACGCUGGCGGCGUGCCUAAUACAUGCAAGUCGAGCGAACGGACGAGAAGCUUGCUUCUCUGAUGUUAGCGGCGGACGGGAGAGUAACACGUGGAUAACCUACCUAUAAGACUGGGAUAACUUCGGGAAACCGGAGCUAAUACCGGAUAAUAUUUUGAACCGCAUGGUUCAAAAGUGAAAGACGGUCUUGCUGUCACUUAUAGAUGGAUCCGCGCUGCAUUAGCUAGUUGGUAAGGUAACGGCUUACCAAGGCAACGAUGCAUAGCCGACCUGAGAGGGUGAUCGGCCACACUGGAACUGAGACACGGUCCAGACUCCUACGGGAGGCAGCAGUAGGGAAUCUUCCGCAAUGGGCGAAAGCCUGACGGGGCAACGCCGCGUGAGUGAUGAAGGUCUUCGGAUCGUAAAACUCUGUUAUUAGGGAAGAACAUAUGUGUAAGUAACUGUGCACAUCUUGACGGUACCUAAUCAGAAAGCCACGGCUAACUACGUG